ACGCUUUCUUUGGCAGCACAUAUACUGAAAUUGGAAUGAUGCAGAGAAGAUUAGAGUGGCCCCUGCACAAGGAUGACAUGCAAAUUUGUGAAGCAUUCCAUAUUUAU
rnacentral:snRNA from 1 species